rnacentral:rRNA from 1 species
AAAGCUUGGUUUCUUGCUGACGAGCGGCGGACGGGUGAGUAAUGUAUGGGGAUCUGCCCGAUAGAGGGGGAUAACUACUGGAAACGGUGGCUAAUACCGCAUAAUGUCUACGGACCAAAGCAGGGGCUCUUCGGACCUUGCACUAUCGGAUGAACCCAUAUGGGAUUAGCUAGUAGGUGGGUAAAGGCUCACCUAGGCGACGAUCUCUAGCUGGUCUGAGAGGAUGAUCAGCCACACUGGGACUGAGACACGGUCCAGACUCCUACGG